UACAGAGGGCUCAAGCGUUGUUCGGAUUCAUUGGGCGUAAAGGGUGCGUAGGCGGUCGUGCAAGUCGGAUGUGAGAUCUCAGGGCUCAACCCUGAAACUGCAUUCGAUACUGCGCGGCUAGAGUGCUGGAGGGGAGACUGGAAUUUACGGUGUAGCAGUGAAAUGCGUAGAUAUCGUAAGGAAGACCAGUGGCGAAGGCGAGUCUCUGGACAGCAACUGACGCUGAGGCACGAAGGCCAGGGGAGCAAACGGG
rnacentral:rRNA from 1 species